rnacentral:tRNA from 1 species
UCCGCCGUGGGGUAAUGGCAACCCGCAGGCCUUUGGAGCCUUGCGAUGCUGGUUCGAAUCCAGCCGGCGGAG